rnacentral:pre_miRNA from 2 species
UUAAUACUCCCUCCAUAACAAAAUAUAAGCAACAAUGAGUCAACGAAAGUUGAUGUAUCUGGUCUAAAUUUUACACCAAAUACAUCAAUCUUCUGACUCAUUUUUGCUUAUAUUUUGUUACGGAGGGAGUAUUUU